rnacentral:rRNA from 1 species
AUUGAACGCUGGCGGCAGGCCUAACACAUGCAAGUCGAGCGGAUGAAGGGAGCUUGCUCCUGGAUUCAGCGGCGGACGGGUGAGUAAUGCCUAGGAAUCUGCCUGGUAGCGGGGGAUAACGUCCGGAAACGGGCGCUAAUACCGCAUACGUCCUGAGGGAGAAAGUGGGGGAUCUUCGGACCUCACGCUAUCAGAUGAGCCUAGGUCGGAUUAGCUAGUUGGUGGGGUAAAGGCCUACCAAGGCGACGAUCCGUAACUGGUCUGAGAGGAUGAUCAGUCACACUGGAACUGAGACACGGUCCAGACUCCUACGGGAGGCAGCAGUGGGGAAUAUUGGACAAUGGGCGGAAGCCUGAUCCAGCCAUGCCGCGUGUGUGAAGAAGGUCUUCGGAUUGUAAAGCACUUUAAGUUGGGAGGAAGGGCAGUAAGUUAAUACCUUGCUGUUUUGACGUUACCAACAGAAUAAGCACCGGCUAACUUCGUG